rnacentral:rRNA from 1 species
ACAAGCGGUGGAGCAUGUGGUUAAUUCGAAGCAACGCGAAGACCUUACCAGGCCUUGACAUGCAGAGAACUUCCAGAGAUGGAUUGGUGCCUUCGGGAACUCUGACACAGGUGCUGCAUGGCUGUCGUCAGCGUCGUGUCGUGAGAUGUUGGGUUAAGUCCCGUAACGAGCGCAACCCUUGUCCUUAGUUACCAGCACGUUAUGGUGGGCACUCUAAGGAGACUGCCGGUGACAAACCGGAGGAAGGUGGGGAUGACGUCAAGUCAUCAUGGCCCUUACGGCCUGGGCUACACACGUGCUACAAUGGUCGGUACAAAGGGUUGCCAAGCCGCGAGGUGGAGCUAAUCCCAUAAAACCGAUCGUAGUCCGGAUCGCAGUCUGCAACUCGACUGCGUGAAGUCGGAAUCGCUAGUAAUCGUGAAUCAGAAUGUCACGGUGAAUACGUUCCCGGGCCUU